rnacentral:rRNA from 1 species
GGCGUAAGCGCGCGCAGGUGGUUUCUUAAGUCUGAUGUGAAAGCCCACGGCUCAACCGUGGAGGGUCAUUGGAAACUGGGAGACUUGAGUGCACAAGAGGAAAGUGGAAUUCCAUGUGUAGCGGUGAAAUGCGUAGAGAUAUGGAGGAACACCAGUGGCGAAGGCGACUUUCUGGUCUGUAACUGACACUGAGGCGCGAAAGCGUGGGGAGGAAACAGGAUUAAAUACCCUGGUAGUCCACGCCGUAAACGAUGAGUGCUAAGUGUUAGAGGGAUUCCCCC